rnacentral:rRNA from 1 species
GACGAACGCUGGCGGCGUGCUUAACACAUGCAAGUCGAACGGAAAGGCCCUGCUUUUGUGGGGUGCUCGAGUGGCGAACGGGUGAGUAACACGUGAGUAACCUGCCCUUGACUUUGGGAUAACUUCAGGAAACUGGGGCUAAUACCGGAUAGGAGCUCCUGCUGCAUGGUGGGGGUUGGAAAGUUUCGGCGGUUGGGGCUGGACUCGCGGCUUAUCAGCUUGUUGGUGGGGUAGUGGCUUACCAAGGCUUUGACGGGUAGCCGGCCUGGGAGGGUGAACGGCCACAUUGGGACUGAGAUACGGCCCAGACUCCUACGGGAGGCAGCAGUGGGGAAUAUUGCACAAUGGGCGGAAGCCUGAUGCAGCAACGCCGCGUGCGGGAUGACGGCCUUCGGGUUGUAAACCGCUUUCGCCUGUGACGAAGCGUGAGUGACGGUAAUGGGUAAAGAAGCACCGGCUAACUACGUG